UACGUAGGGGGCAAGCGUUGUCCGGAAUUACUGGGCGUAAAGGGCGCGUAGGCGGCGUGUCAAGUCAGGCGUGAAAGCCCCGGGCUCAACCUGGGAACCGCGCUUGAGACUGGCAUGCUCGAGUUCGCGAGAGGAUGGUGGAAUUCCCAGUGUAGAGGUGAAAUUCGUAGAUAUUGGGAAGAACACCGAUGGCGAAGGCAGCCCCCUGGGCCAACACUGACGCUCAGGCACGAAAGCGUGGGGAGCAAACAGG
rnacentral:rRNA from 1 species